UGACGGCCGCCCCGCAGCGCUCCCAGUCCUCCCUGCUCGCAGACAUCCUGCACCAGACCGUUCUCCACCCGCUCUGUGUGCGGUUUCCCCCGCCCGCCUCCUACAGACGCCGCUUCCUCACCGAGCUCAUUAAGAAGCACGAAUCCACGGCGGCCGACCCCCUGGACGAGCUGUACGAUGCGUUGGCACCUAUCUUAAAUGAGGAAGAAUCCACUCGCUGCUACAAAAGCUACUUACUGGUAAGCACCGACAAAACUGCUUCAUUUCAAAUCGCUUUUAAUCAUCUAAAGCACCUGUCCCUGUUCUGUGCGGUGGAGUUGGACCAGGUGACCUCUGAAGGUCUCUUGGGCCGGAGGAAUGGCAGGCAUUGAUACAGAGUGGAAGGAGCGGUCCUUGAGAGCAGCCCUGCAGAGAAGGACCUGAGGGUCCUGAUGGAUGAAAAGCUGAACACGAGCC